UCCCCCGCGUCGCCCCCUCCUUUCCCCCGCAUCGCCGGCGGCCUUCGCCCUCAUCCCCACAGCCGCCAUAACCGGCGACUUCUCCUCUCGCCGCCGCCCCCUCUCACCCCUCCCUUCGUGUUAGAUCGAGCGACAACCGCGGUGUGGGCGAGCAGCACCAACGCACUGCUCUCGGCCGCGGAGCUGCUCCCGCUGGGCCACCCGGACCCGCCCGUUGCCUGCAUGCCUCCCGCAGCGUCUUCUCCGAUCACACAGCCGACAACGGUCGUAGGCGGUACACACUUGUGUUGUCGUGGUCCACAUGGCCGUGCGCGACCCCACCGGCGCCGAGCCCUUCGCGCAUGACCACGCCGGCGUCCCUACCUACGCCUACUAUGCCCAGGACCGAGAGGCGAACAAGUGAUGCUUGACGGUGAACAUCUGCUCGAGGACAUCCUGCUCAACGAUGCUCCCCUUCGCCAACAUCUCCAUUGCAUGGACCAAUGAAGGAACAAGAAGCAAAUUAUAACACUUCAGAUCAUGGUCUAGGAGCAGGAAAGCACAUGUCCAUCUUUGUAAUAUUCUCAUAUCCAUAAUACUAACACUACAUACAAAAUCUCGCAGUUCUCUAGAUGCGUCAUCAGCAAUGGUUAGUAAGUUAUACUUCUCCUUCACCUUUUAGUUAAAAGUAUUUGUUACCCAAGUGAGCAUCUCGUUACAUGAAUUUUGUGUUUGUGUUAAUAUCUCAGUACAUGGAUCAGACUUAGGUCUUACUUGAUAAUACUCUAAGCUAACUUUAUCACCAACUUGGUUGAACCACAUUUAAAUUAUAUUUGUUUGUCCAGAAGAUUCCAUAUACUACAUUUUAUGUGGAUAAUCCAUCGUCGAGUAUGUAUUUGUUAGGAUGGUAGGAAAACCACAAUCUGUGACAAGGUAUUAGCAUAAUCUAGACAUUAUUUUUGAGUAUGUUUUGAAGUAUAUUUUUCUUCCAGUAAAUGGUUUAAAUGUAUGUAUAUUUUUCUCCCAAUAUGUUAUGGUCAUCUGCAUAUAAAUUUUCAUGUACAACUUCUUAGCUUAGCAGCUGAUCAUUGGCUCACCUAUCUAACUAUCUAGCUUGCUUUGA